UGUGUUUCUGUUGUUUUUGUUUUGUUGUUUAUAUGAGUAGUUGUCUUCAUAAAACACAACCAUCAAGGUUUAAGGAUGGAAUGGAUAAAAUAUGGUUGUGACAAAAAAAAGAGUGUUGUUUUGGAAUUGAAGUGAAAAUUUUGUGACAAAACAUUAAAUGUGUAUGAAGGGAAUUGGUGGGAUUGAGGUAGUGCAUUAAUUAGAGGAAGAGUGUGGUAGUGUUAGUGUUAUGCACUCAACUGCCACAACUGCCAAAACUCACCGAAGGAGUUAUUAAUGCAAUUUUGAAUUGGGAGGUGGUGAUGAUGAUGAUUCAAGAUUCAAGAUUCAACAAACAGUGUUUGUUGUUCUUUUGUUUGGUUUUGUUCAAGUUUUCACUGUAAACAAGUCGAGUCUUGUUUGUGUUUUUAUGUAUAAAGGUUGUAAACAUGAAAUAAAUGCAAAAAACCAAACUAUUGAUUUGUAGUACCAGUAGAAAUUUCGUGGAAUUAGAG
rnacentral:lncRNA from 1 species